CCUGAGACCUUGGCUUUCAAGUUCUACUUAAACUAUUCAGUAUGAACUAGAAAAUUUAGUAAACAAAGUGUCAUCUUCUGCCUCAUUAUCUUUUUAUUUGGAAAACUAUGUUAGACUCCAAGGUAUUCUCUCUUUACUUCAAUGUAACAGAAGUAACCAGUUUAAUUGUUCAGAACCUGACAUUUAUUUAAUCAUGUCUUCUUAGUGUUCAGGUUUAUUGUCUUCAAUGACUGGAUGCCAGUCUGCUUCCUUUUUGACUUUCCUAGGCUCGGAUUCAUCAGAUUCUCUACUUGUGCCAUUUGGAAUGGAAAGACCCUCCCACAGGGUAGAGGUUAUUCAUUCUCUCUCUCUCUCUCUCUCUCUCCACCACAAUUUUUGCCAAGAGCAAGUCAGGUUUUUGGUCAAGCUAAAUUUUUACUGCAUGCUUUCCUUCAACUAAGUGUGAAAGAAAUCUAUUAAAUAAUAUUUAAUUUGGUCUCAAAUGUGAACCAUACUCUCCAACCUAGUUUUUCUACCAAAUAACCAUGAACUGAAAUUUACUUCAUAGUUUUGACCUUCAUAAAUUGUUUGUUUCCCCAUUUAUCUUCAAUUCUUAUAUGUUUUGAAAUUAUUGAUAUCAACUCUGGAGAAAAGAGUAAGUCUUACAACCGGCAUAACAACAGGUACAAUUAAAGAAGUAUGUUCCUUAACAUGAGAAGAAUGUUAACCCAUUUCAAUCAAAAGUAUUUCAUUUUUCCCAUGAGUAACACUAUGCUGUGCAUUGUGGAGUUUACAGAGGAGGUGAGAUAUGGUCCUGACUUCGUGGUAUACAAUUUCAUUUGAUAGGGCAAGGCAUAUGUG
rnacentral:lncRNA from 1 species